rnacentral:rRNA from 1 species
AACGAACGUUGGCGGCGUGGAUUAGGCAUGCAAGUCGAGCGAGAAGCUUCCUUCGGGAAGUGGACAGCGGCGAACGGGAGAGUAACGCGUGGAGUACCUACCCUGGGGUUCGGGACAGCCGUGGGAAACUGCGGGUAAUACCGAACAACAUCUCCGGAUCAAAGGUGUGAUUCCGCCCUUGGACGGCUCCGCGUCCUAUUAGCUUGUUGGUGAGGUAACGGCUCACCAAGGCAACGAUGGGUACCGGGUGUGAGAGCAUGGCCCGGCUCACUGGGACUGAGACACUGCCCAGACACCUACGGGUGGCUGCAGUCGAGAAUCUUCGGCAAUGGGCGCAAGCCCGACCGAGCGACGCCGCGUGCGGGAUGAAGGCCUUCGGGUUGUAAACCGCUGUCAGAGGGGAGGAAAUCUAUGAGGGUACUCUCUCAUAGUUGACCUAGCCUCAGAGGAAGGACGGGCUAAGUUCGUG